rnacentral:rRNA from 1 species
AACGAACGCUGGCGGCAUGCCUAACACAUGCAAGUCGAACGAGACCUUCGGGUCUAGUGGCGCACGGGUGCGUAACGCGUGGGAACCUGCCUUUAGGUUCGGAAUAACUCAGAGAAAUUUGAGCUAAUACCGGAUGAUGUCUUCGGACCAAAGAUUUAUCGCCUUUAGAUGGGCCCGCGUUGGAUUAGCUAGUUGGUGGGGUAAAGGCCUACCAAGGCGACGAUCCAUAGCUGGUCUGAGAGGAUGAUCAGCCACACUGGGACUGAGACACGGCCCAGACUCUUACGCGAGGCAGCAGUGGGGAAUAUAGGACAAUGGGCGAAAGCAUGAUCCAGCUAUGCCGCGUGAGUGAUGAAGGCCUUAGGGUUGUAAAGCGCUUUUACCCGAGAUGAGAAUGACAGUAUCGGGAGAAUAAGCUCCGGCUAACUCCGUG